rnacentral:snRNA from 1 species
AGCUUUGCGCAGUGGCAGUAUCGUAGCCAAUGAGGUUUAGCCAAGGCGUGAUUAUUGCUAAUAGAAAGCUACCCAGA